rnacentral:lncRNA from 1 species
UCUCCAAUUUCAACUGCAGGUAAACUUCAUCCGGACUCCUACGGGAGCCGGACUCCGUCUCCAACUUCAACUACAGGUAAACUUCGUCCGGACUUCUACGGGAGCCGGACUCCAUCUCCAACUUCUACUGCAGGUAAACUUCAUCCGGACUCCUACGGGAGCCGAACUUCACCUCCAAUUCCAGCUACAGGUAGGGUUUGUCCGGGCUCCCACGGGAGCCGGACUUCCGCCC